rnacentral:lncRNA from 1 species
GGUCACUUGCACCAGCAGGGUGCAAGUCACGUGUGCUAACAGCUGAAUACCAACGUUAGCUGGUCGUUUGUUCACUAACCAUAGUCAAACGAAGACCAAAAAAAUUGUAGUGCAGUAAAAGCCAAAUUUACCAGAGGCAGCAGGUGGUCUCGGCGCUGGGCAUCUCGACCGUCUUCCUCGCUUUCUCUCAAAACCCAGAAAUCCAAACCACAUCGCCGACCCUGAUGCGUUUCUAUUUUUAGCGGGCCCUCUUCACAAAUCACAAUUGGUUCCCACCCAAAUUGAAUUUGAGGGUUUUGGAUUCGAUCCGAAUACGAUCGUAGUCUGAUUUGAUCGAAAGCAAAAGGCUUUGCGAGAAUCAAUGCCUCAAGAUUUGUCGUUGGACCAGGAAGCGGACGAUGCCGAAGCUGAGUUCACUAAGGUUGAUCUCACUGGUCGUUACGGACGGUUCAGUUUAUGGUUUCGAUUUUUUAUUUGAUUUAGCUGUUCUACUCUUGCAAGUCUUAUUCUUUUCAUCAAGUACUGAUUUGGGUUGAUGAAUAUGAGUUGAUUUGUGCUGAUAUUGUGUUUUUGGUGAUUUGCACUUCGCAUUACAUAGAGGUUUUAGGCAAGGGGGCUUUCAAGAAAGUGUGUCCUUUUUGCUCUGUUCUUUGUCAAGGUUUCAGUGAUGGGUUGAUGAAUUGAAUUUCUGUAGCCUGAAUUGAUGAUUGUUUAGCAUUUAUCCUUGCUGGGAAGGUUGUGGACCUCUCAUUAUCUUCUUUCUCACGGCUGCUAAGUGCACAUCAUAAUCGUGCUAUGAGACUAUCUUAAGAAUAGCUUCCUCAAGUCUCCGUCAAGAAAUUGGUAAGGAAACCGUAAAUAUAUUGCAAGCAUUUCAUUGCUCAUUGGUUUUUCAAAUGGUUACAUAUUCCAGGUUGAUAAAGAAGCAGAGUCCUUAUGCAGGCAAAGGAGGAGAAUGCUGGAGGUUAUAAGGUGGUAGUUUGCGUAUGUAUCUUGAUUGCUGGAAGACCCCACUCCCUGAAUUCGUUUUUGCAGACGUCUUAGUUUAAUCACUAUUUGUUAAAACAAUAUUAUUCCUUUCAAAAGUAUAUGCAAUGUCGUUGUAUAAUAUAACAAAGUGAGCUCAUGUUGAGGGUUUAAGAUUUUUAGGCUGACAAUAAGGUUCCAUUGUGUUUUUAACAAAGUGAGCUCAUGUAGAAAUUGCAAUUCAAAAUACUAAAUAUGUUGUCUUUCAAGGAGAGUUGCAGAAAACAGGAAUCUGAUGUUGUAUUAUGCGUGAAGUUG